CAGCUCUGGUGGGCACUUAAAGGGACCUUUACACUCCGGCCAACUGCUUUGCAACUGAUUCCCAGGCGGCUCCUUCUCGUAUUGGGCGUCAAUCCCUUUUCAGUACGCCCCCCCCCCCAGGCGGUCUGUGGGGGUGAUUUGGGAGGGGGGGGGCGUUUUAUUGUCUUUAUUUUGCCUCGCAGGUAGCAACAUUUUUAAGUCACUAACAUUUUCCUCUGGACUUCUCUGAUUGUCAGCCCCAUCUUUCCAAAGCCCAGUGGAGGACGGUGAAGACAAAGUUGCUCUGAACGAGGCAGUUUUCUGAGAUCUUUGCUCUUACCGUCUCUAUUCUGAAAUCAUAAUAGAGAUCGCAACGGAGCGGGGCUGGGGGGGGGAGAGUCAACGCGCCUGCAGGAUUUAAAAGAGACAAAAAUCCAAGUAGCAGCAGGUUUAAGUUCCCGGGCGACUCGCGUCUCGCCCGAGAAAAACAGCUGUUUGCUGGCUCUGAACGCCGCCGGGGCUGUUUGUACACAACUAUGAAAAAGGGGACAGGCGGCUCGCCCUGGAGUGCGAAUCUAAUUUGAAAUGUAGCAGGAGUGAAGCUCGCCCACUUAAAAACCCAGUUUCUGAUUUCUUUUGAAGAUAGACAGGAACAUGGGCAGGAUGUUUAUACAGCGAAAUGUAAACAUCUUCUCAGGGGUUCUUUAAUAAAAAGAAAUCAGAAAGAAAAGUCCCUGGUAGUUCGCAUAGAGCCCCUCACUGCGCCAUAUAAAAUAGCGCCCGUCGCCUGAUUUGCUGCCGGGUUAGACUUUUGUUGUUGUUUGUUGUUGUUGUUGUGAUAUAAAUAUGUGUUGAUUUUUUCAGCUAUGCCCAGACUUUGAUCCUCAGAAGUAAUGGAUCUCUCUCUCUCUUUCUCUCUCUCUCUCUCACACAACACACACACACACACACACCACAUGGGGGGGCGGGGAGGAAAAGGAGGGCAAAGCCUUCCUCAGACCCCCACCCCCAAAAAGUCUGACCAUCUUUUCCUCAGUAAAGCUGUCACUCACUAAUCAAGAGAUCUGUACAUCAGAGGGGACGUGGCAGCCGGGGAGAGGGCCGGAAAGCCUCCCUGCAUGGAUCACCUCUUCCUUCACUGGAUGGGCGAUCAGACGUGUAAGCUGUGGUACCAGGAUGUGGCCAGCACAGUUUUUGGCCAGCCAUCUUGACCUACUCUGAGGAAUUUUCGUGCAUGGGGCUUUGAAUUUGCAAGCGUGCUGUGUAUAUAAUCUUUCUCUGAAGUUCUUCUACAGUAUAGUAAUAGAGAAAGAAUGAUCGUAUGAUACGCUGCCCAAAGAAUAUUCAAAAUGCACAACUUUUAGCUUCAGCCAAUGGUGGUUAUCAAACGGUAGUUGAACUCCAUAUAUAGGUUUCCCUAUUUUCUCUGUGUAACUGUGGGGCACAAGGGUCAGUUUUAUUUACCAUUACGUGACUCCAGUUUUACCUCAGUGUGGCUCUCCUGGUUUCAGUAGUUCAUACUGGGCUUGAGCUACUGCUGGGAUAGCAAUCUCAUCACCUCAGUGGUGCACAUUUAGGGUGGACCUGUGGAGAUUCUGGAGUACUAACUAGGCCUCCUUUGAUUGCUGGGCAGACCAACCCAGCCUUUUUAAUGCAUUCUCAUCAACUAGGACAGAUCACAAAUAAUGGGUCAUCCCCUCACUAGUGGGAGUGGGAUGGUUGCCCCUUAAUCCACUACACUUCUGUUGGAAUAUCGGUAUAACAAAAUGUUGUAUGUUUCUCUUCCUAACUCCUAGUGUAUAUUGAUUGUAUCAGGCUGAUAAUGAGAUGAGCCUCACUAAUUGUAAUGCUAAGUUGCAACCAUUUUUCUUCUCAGAGAUCUGUGAGUAUGGAGGGCCUGGGGUCACAUAUAUGCACUGACAUCCUCCCUGUUCUCAGUUGUCUGGAGAAACUGCUAGAUUGAGUUUUUGCAAAACAACAUGCAGGAGUGAUAAAGAAACAAUUCAAUAUUUAUUUCUGCUAGGCUCCUAAUAGACCUCUUGUAUGUACUCUGGCAUUUGCUCUCUAUUACACUUUCUUUGUUAGUUUAAUCUUGUUGUACUGAAUGCUUAACUACUUUUUCCUUUCAGUGCCUGUGGAAAUAAACUCCAUGAUUUAAUCAAA